UGCCACAGGAUGGAAAAUGUAGUUGGCCGACAGAUCGCGGUAUUUCAGGAUUUUGUUCCGCUCGGCCACAGAAGCUUUGGAUUUCACUCUGACCACAGCAUCCAGGAUGUGGGAAGAAACAAAGGAGUCGCUAACUGUGACAUCCCAGACAAGGCAUCUGCCUUGCGACCAGGGGCACAGAGUAAGGCCGUCAGAUCUCUUCCCAUCACAUCUAGACAAUUCAGAUGGUUCCAAGAUGGAGGGGAUGUUUGCCCAGGCCAAGCUCCUCUUGAGUAUCAGGUUCAACUCCGUAUGAUGCGCGAAGCGACCAGCAUUCAGGCGGCAAGAAAGGUCAUGGAGGCCUGUGGAGUCGAGGAGCCUGCUACAACGACAGAGAAGGUCCCACAACAUUAUCAUACAUGUUCGCCUUUUCAAAAUAUAACGUUUUGAGUUGUUAUUGUUAGCAGGCUGAGCAAUUAAGAUUCUGCGUUGGCUCGACUGGAAUAAAUUUUCAGAGGGAACAACACUGUCGGGCAGUUCCGAAAUCAUUGUAAUGUUCAAACGACAGUCGACGAAGGGAGUGUCACCGCAAUGCAACCUGCAUGUAAAUAAUCAUAAAUAUAUAUAUAUAUAUAAAUCAUUUCUAAGUAAGAGACAGGUAACAGGUAUUCUAGGUGAAUACAACAAUUAAUCAUUAAAUUCAAUAACGUAUUUUUCCUAGCUAUUUGUACCAUGAUGCUUUGGAAUAGCUACUUCCGCUUAUAAUUUUUUUUUCGCCUGCUGAAAAUAAUUAUCUCCCUUUACGAAACACGCCAAGGCAACCAUUAGGUUGUUCACUCUAAACAUUCAAAAUGCCACGACAAAUAUCAGAAAUAAAGGAAUUUUUGUUGACUGCGAGAAGGAAAGAUGCAAAAUGUG